CAGUCGCCGCGGUAAUACGUAGGGUGCGAGCGUUAAUCGGAAUUACUGGGCGUAAAGCGGGCGCAGACGGUUACUUAAGCAGGAUGUGAAAUCCCCGGGCUCAACCUGGGAACUGCGUUCUGAACUGGGUGACUAGAGUGUGUCAGAGGGAGGUAGAAUUCCACGUGUAGCAGUGAAAUGCGUAGAGAUGUGGAGGAAUACCGAUGGCGAAGGCAGCCUCCUGGGAUAACACUGACGUUCAUGCCCGAAAGCGUGGGUAGCAAACAGGAUUAGAUACCCGCGUAGUCCCUGUCUCUUAUAC
rnacentral:rRNA from 1 species